rnacentral:piRNA from 1 species
UCCUAGAGGUCUGACAGAAUACUGU